AAUGGGAUAACUGGGUCAAAUGGUGGUUCUAUUCCAAAUUUUCUGAGGAAUCUCCAUACUGCUUUCUAGAGUGAUUGCAUCAAUUUGCAGUCCCACUAGUAAU
rnacentral:pre_miRNA from 1 species